AUUAAUGCACUAAAAAAAUAAAAAAUAAAAUGCUUCCUUCAGGAUUCGAACCCAGGAUCUGGAUUCAUUCAACAAGAUGAUGCAUCCACCGUAGAUCUUGAUGAUCGAAUGGCUGAAAAUGAUUCUCCGGUCUUCUUUUAUUUAUGGUUCUUUCUUGAACCUCUCCCUAUAUAUAUAUAUAUAGUGAAAUGAAUGGGCUGUUAGUGUAUUACUCUAUUUAGAGUAUUUGAGAAUUCCAAAAUUAUAUUCAUUGCAACCUAGAGGAAUAAAUGUUAUUGACUCCAGAAUUUAGCUGUUGUGUUUAUUGAGCUAGUUGUUUAAUUACUUUUAUUUUGGAAAAAUGCGUGUUCGCGCUUGUAUUGUAAUUUUCUAGUUUCUUUGAUAAUUUGCUAUUUUUUCUGGAAAAAGGUGUGUUCACGCUUGUAUUGCAAUUUCCUGUAGAAAAACUUAUCUCAAUUUGCAAAAGGAGAAUGAAGAGUUGAAGAAAAAGAAUGAAGAGUUGGCCUCUCGGUUUGAGUCUUUAGAAGCUCAAAUUAGCAACCACCAAGUGAAUCUACAAUCUCAAGUAGAAGAUCUUUUGAGAGCUAAACUCCCUGCUAUCAUUCAAGGCCUAAAUCAAAGUAGUCAAAUACCGAGUUCUAAUUAAUGUAAAGUUAGUUGACUAAGUUUAUCUUUUAUUUAUUAGAAAGACAUGAAUUUAUGCUGUUUUAUAAAUAUGCUUCUGCCUCAAUUUUGCAAUUUGUAUUAGACUUUUUAGAAAUAAGCAUGAUCACGC
rnacentral:lncRNA from 1 species